GACGUAGGUGGCAAGCGUUGUCCGGAUUUAUUGGGCGUAAAGAGCGCGUAGGCGGUCCGGUAAGUCCGCUCUGAAAGUCCGGGGCUCAACCCCGGGAGGCGGGCGGAUACUGUCGGGCUAGAGUCUGGAAGAGGCGAGUGGAAUUCCUGGUGUAGCGGUGAAAUGCGCAGAUAUCAGGAGGAACACCAAUGGCGAAGGCAGCUCGCUGGGACGGUACUGACGCUGAGGCGCGAAAGCGUGGGGAGCAAACAGG
rnacentral:rRNA from 1 species